rnacentral:rRNA from 1 species
CUAUACAUGCAGUCGAGCGAACUUUCGUGGGAGCUUGCUCCUGCGAGAGUUAGCGGCGGACGGGUGAGUAACACGUGGGUAACCUGCCUGUAAGACUGGGAUAACUCCGGGAAACCGGGGCUAAUACCGGAUAACUUCUUUCUCCGCAUGGAGAAAGAUUGAAAGAUGGCUUUGGCUAUCACUUACAGAUGGACCCGCGGCGCAUUAGCUAGUUGGUGAGGUAACGGCUCACCAAGGCGACGAUGCGUAGCCGACUUGAGAGGGUGAUCGGCCACACUGGGACUGAGACACGGCCCAGACUCCUACGGGAGGCAGCAGUAGGGAAUCUUCCGCAAUGGACGAAAGUCUGACGGAGCAACGCCGCGUGAGUGAUGAAGGUUUUCGGAUCGUAAAACUCUGUUGUUAGGGAAGAACAAGUAUCGUUCGAAUAGGGCGGUACCUUGACGGUACCUAACCAGAAAGCCACGGCUAACUACGUGCCAGCAGCCGGCCGGUAAUAAA